GACUGGCAGCACCAAGAUUUGUUUAUACCAGCAUCAUCACAAACUUUCUGUUGCAGGCUGGCCUGGUAGCUCUCCUACACCACUUCCCUUCCAGCGGCAACCCAGGGGCCAGGCUGCAUCCAGCUUAACACUGCCAUGUUGGAGUUGAGUGCUUUGUGUUUAAUCAGCUAGCCUUAGGAGAGAGUCAACAUGCAGAAGUCACACUUGAUUUUAACUGCUAUACCAGAAGGGACACCUCAUCUCCCCUACAUUCCAUUGGUGAGAACAUGGAAAUUUGAUGAACACUACUGGUUUUGGUCUCAGCCACUAUUUCCAUUUGUUCAAUAUCAUAUUUCUGCUCCUAUGGAUACAACGAUAGAGGCAGGAGGCAGAGAAAUUCUAGGCAGAAAGGGCGGGUCCCUGGCAAAUGCCCCACCCUCCAGCUGAAAAGCCUGAAACCGCAGCCAGAAGUGAGAACUUACAUCCCUGUUUUCCCACUUGAAUGUUGCCUUUUCCAAAACCACUCAUUGCCUGCCCUGCCCUCCAUCCUGGGCUUAUAAAAAACCUCAUACCCAGCUGACAGAGAGAGGAGAAGCAGCUGGACAUCAGAGACUAUAGCUGGAUGUCGGGGAGAAGCGGCUUGAUUCCAGAGGGACAGCUUGACCGUGUAACUUGGGAGAAGAAUCUGGUUGGAGACUCCUGGACUUCAGGAGAAGAUUACCUUCCAGCUCUGUCCCCUUUUCAGCUCCCCUUCCCACUGACAGCCAUGCCCAUCGGCAAUAAAAUUUCCCACAUUUACAAUCCUUCAAUUUGUUCAUGUGACCUCAUUCCUCCUGGACGCCACAGAAGAACUCAGGAACCACGAGUGCAGAUACAAAAGGCUGUCACACUGACCCUUUGCCCUCUCUGGCAAAAGGCAGCUGCCUCACACCAAAAGGUAGAGGGUCCACUGAGCUGUUAACACUUAAGCUGUCUGUGGACAGCAGCACUAAAAGAGCACUGUAACACUCCCUCUGGGACUUCAGGGGUCACAGGUACCCUCCCAGAUGUUGCUGUUGGGGCCUGCACAGACUUUGCUCCUGCUCACACCCAAAAGUGCUUGCCCUGGCUCCUGCACCUGCUCACCUGCAUGCGCCUUCCCACGAGGGGUGGAGCGCAGUGGCUCCAAGUGAGUGGAAUUUGCCACUGCCAGCACUGAAGUGGCUGGCUAGUUCCAGUGCCCGGGCACACAAUUUCCCACCUUAUUCGCUUGCGUGCUCCCUCCUGCGAGGAGUUGAGAACUGCAGGCUGAGGAAACAAGGCACCCCCUUUGUGAGUCCCAUGAAGGGGCCAGGGAAAUAUCCUGCUUCACUACCUCUUUGAAAGAGUGAAAUAACACACAGUGGCCUGGGUACCUCCACAUCCUUCACGAUGCAGCUGACUAGAGGUCUGGAAAGCAAGGAUAUGAAUAUAAAUUGAAUACUGUAUAAGAUCUAAAAUAUUAAACCGACCUAGACUUAACUGGAUUUUUUUAAUAUUCGAAGUCACCAGAAAGCUAUGGGAUCUACCCAAGAUGUUGUAAGGGGUCAGGAAAGGGAGAUUUGACAAAGUAAGUCCGAAAGCAGUGAAAGGGAAGAAAAUAAAACCAUUUUAUGUUUGUACUUUAUUGGGUUCAAGACAAUCCAAUAUGAAACCUGCAUUUA
rnacentral:lncRNA from 1 species